UAAACACCGGGGAUGAACAACUUUUGUCACGUGACCGCAAAAGUCAACGCCGGUUGCAGAAACAGAUUGUAAUCUUGUACAUUAAGAAACAUGACGCUCGUGUGUGAAAUCUGUGGAAAGACAUUUAAAUCGAAGUGGGGGUUAAAGCUUCAUGAUAAGCGCCACAGAGGGACUGGACGAUUCGCCUGUUGUGGAAAAACAUUUUACACAAAACAGGCGUUCAACAGACACAGAUGCAGCAUUCAUGGUGUUGAAAAGCCGUUCCCCUGUGAACAAUGCGGCAAAAAGUUUUCAACCAAAGAUGACCUGAAUCGUCACGUCCGGAAGGAGGUUGCUGCAAAGCAAUUUACCUGCUCAAUUUGCAAUGCAACGCUCCGGGAGAAAAUUGACCUUCAGGCCCACCUUGCCACCCACAAUGGAGAGAAAAACUUUGCUUGUGAUAUGUGUGAAAAGAGGUACAGGCACCGCAGUAGUCUAUCAAAGCACAGAUCUGCAAAGCACCGGGCCUAGUCAUCUGUUGCAUGACGAUGAUAAGACCAAGAAUUAUUUUUAAUUCUUACCAAUGUGCCGUGGUUAUUUUCUUAAUUAUUGAAAAUACAGACUGUCAUACAAUAAUAUAUAGUAUUACGCGUGUUUUUGCGUCUUAAACAUUGUGUUUCAUAUCGUUUAUCUUGUGUUGUUUUGUUUGAUAUUCCUGUUUUUAAUAAGAUUAUUGUUGUAAUAUUUAUCAUUCUAAUUUAAAAUGAUUAUGAUAAUGGUUGAUCUCAUACAAAUUAUUGUGUUCAUUAUUGCUCAUCUGUGAUUACUGUUGAUCUCAGCCCAUGAAUUGUGAUUUAUAUUGAUUAUCUGUGAUUAUUGUUGAUCUUAUCAAAAUAAUUGUAAUUUAUGUUGAUUAUCUGUGAAUUUUUUAUCUUAACCUAUUAAUAGUGAUUUAUAUUAUCUGUGAUUAUUGUUGAUCUUAUCAAAAUCAUUGUGAUUUAUGUUGAUUAUCUGUGAUUAUUGUUGAUCUCAACCGAUUAAUUGUGAUUUAUAUAACCAGUGAUUAUUGUUGAUCUUUUCAAAAUCAUUGUAAUUUAUGUUGAUUAUCUGUGAUUAUUGUUGAUCUUUUCGAAAUC